CCCAAUACACCAAUAUUACCUCUCAUUCGGCGCAAUAUAUCUAACCAUUUAAUUAUUUUAUAUAAUGUGUGUAUAAUUAAUAUACCUGACACGCGACUUCUAUAACCAUAUUAAAUGUACAACAAUAGUAAAUUAUUAUUAUAAAAUCAAUACUAUAACAUGUUAAUAGUUAUGUGAUACCUAAAUAUUUUCGUAAAUAUUUACAGACCAUUUAAAAUAUUAUAUUUUUUUUAUACAGCAGGUAUUUACGAUUGUUGAUUCUUCAGGUUAAGUACCAGAAAAAUAACGUUGAAGAAAAUUGAAUUGCAACCUAAAAGAAUUAGAGUGUUUGACAAAACAGCCACACUUCUUAUGUAGUAUAAUUACAGAAAUAAAAUACUCCAUUCAACAAAAGACGGAACUUCCUAAUGCCUAACUAUACUAACACGUAUACAAACAACUUUAUCAAGCACAGCAUAAUCGUCCACUGCUUAAAUUUCAUUUAAGCUAAAAGUGAACUCAACAUCUAGUACAAACGGACUCUUGUCUGGCCUGUUAGACUCCAGUCAACCUUGAAAAAGAUAAACAAACCAACCAAGUAUAGAAAGAAAAUCAUGAGCAAAUGAUGAGUUGGGGCAUGUUCUGACCAUCUUCCAUUAUCAUAAUACAUAAAGAAUCUGUAAAGGAAAUUGUAUUAUAUUAUCUAAUAAACGAUACAAAAACAUUAUUGAUGUUUUCUAGA